AUUGUCCCUCAAGGCAUUGCAGGUGUGGAUGCUGUGUUACUUGUGCAUCAGUAGGUGGCAGAGAGGACAGAGGCUGUGUCUAUUCUCAGUGUUCUGACCUGUGAAGAGAUGAAUGAUUAGCAGCCUAACAUU